rnacentral:rRNA from 1 species
GAUGAACGCUAGCUACAGGCUUAACACAUGCAAGUCGAGGGGUAACGAGAGGAAAGCUUGCUUUCCUUGUCGACGACCGGCGCAUGGGUGAGUAACGCGUAUCCAACCUGCCCCCAACUAAGGAAUAACCUUGCGAAAGUAAGACUAAUACCUUAUAAUUUCCUCAGAUGUCAUCUGACGAGGAAUAAAGAUUUAUCGGUUGUGGAUGGGGAUGCGUCUGAUUAGCUUGUUGGCGGGGUAACGGCCCACCAAGGCAACGAUCAGUAGGGGUUCUGAGAGGAAGGUACCCCACAUUGGAACAGAGACCCGGUCCAAACUCCUACGGGAGGCAGCCAUGAGGAAUAUUGGUCAAUGGGCGGAAGCCUGGACCAGCCAAGUAGCGUGCAGGAUGACGGCCCUAUGGGUUGUAAACUGCUUUUAUACAGGAAUCAAGUUAGCCACGUGUGGUUAUUUGUAGGUACUGUAUGAAUAAGGACCGGCUAAUUCCGUGCCAGCCGCCGCAGUAA